CCUACGGGGUGCAGCAGUGAGGAAUAUUGGUCAAUGGCCGCAGGGCUGAACCAGCCAAGUCGCGUGAGGGAAGACGGCCCUAUGGGUUGUAAACCUCUUUUGUCGGAGAACAAAACCCGGGACGUGUCCCGGACUGCGUGUAUCCGAAGAAAAAGCAUCGGCUAACUCCGUGCCAGCAGCCGCGGUAAUACGGAGGAUGCGAGCGUUAUCCGGAUUUAUUGGGUUUAAAGGGUGCGUAGGCGGUCCGUUAAGUCAGCGGUAAAAUUGCGGGGCUCAACCCCGGCGAGCCGUUGAAACUGGCGGGCUGGAGUUGGAGAGAAGUACGCGGAAUGCGCGGUGUAGCGGUGAAAUGCUUAGAUAUCGCGCAGAACCCCGAUUGCGAAGGCAGCGUACCGGCUCCACACUGACGCUGAGGCACGAAAGCGUGGGUAUCGAACAGGAUUAGAUACCCCAGUAGUC
rnacentral:rRNA from 1 species